UCAAGGAACUAAGAGUUUAUGGGGGAUACCUUGGCAUUCAGAAGCGAUGAAGGACGUGGUUACCGACGAUACGCUUCGGGGAGCUGGAAACAAGCUACGAUCCGGAGGUCUCCGAAUGAGGAAACUUUAAUAAUAACUGCUUAUUGAAUUCAUAGAUAAGUAAGAGCAAACCUAGGGAACUGAAACAUCUUAGUACCUGGAGGAAAAGAAAGUAAAAACGAUUCCCUGAGUAGCGGCGAGCGAAACGGGAACAGCCUAAACUCAAUUCAUAAUUGAGGGUAGUGGGACAAUUAUAAACGAUACUGUAACAAUUAGAAGAACAAGUUUGGAAUACUUGACCAUAGAGAGUGAUAGUCUCGUAUUCGAAAAUUGAAACAAUCAAAUUGAAUCCCAAGUAGCAUGGAGCACGUGAAAUUCCGUGUGAAUCUGCGAGGACCACCUCGUAAGGCUAAAUAUUCCUGAAUGACCGAUAGUGAAACAGUACCGUGAGGGAAAGGUGAAAAGAACCCCGGGAGGGGAGUGAAAAGAACAUGAAACCGUAAACUUACAAGCAGUAGAAGGACGACUAAAACGUCUGCCUGCGUGCCUGUUGAAGAAUGAGCCGGCGACUCAUAGGUAGUGGCAGGUUAAGGCAGUGAAUGCUGGAGCCACAGUGAAAGCGAGCCUGAAUAGGGCGUUUGUCACUAGUUAUGGACCCGAACCCGGGUGAUCUAACCAUGGUCAGGUUGAAGCUUAGGUAAUACUAAGUGGAGGACCGAACCGACUGAUGUUGAAAAAUCAGCGGAUGAAUUGUGGUUAGGGGUGAAAUGCCAAUCGAACUCGGAGCUAGCUGGUUCUCCCCGAAAUGCGUUUUGGCGCAGCGAUAAAUGUUAUAAUUUAGGGGUAAAGCACUGUUACGUAUGCGGGCUGGUAAUUCGGUACCAAAUCGUUGCAAACUAAGAAUACUAAGUGUACAGUCUACCAGUAAGACUGUGGGGGAUAAGCUCCAUUGUCAAGAGGGAAACAGCCCAGAGCACCAGUUAAGGCCCUUAAAUAAUUACUAAGUGAUAAAGGAGGUGGGAGUGCAUAGACAAUCAGGAGGUUUGCUUAGAAGCAGCAACCCUUUAAAGAGUGCGUAAUAGCUCACUGAUCGAGUAAACCUGCGCCGAAAAUGAACGGGACUAAGUAAUUUGCCGAAACUGUGCGAUAUAUAUUGAUAUAUCGGUAGGGGAGCGUUCUGUUGUAGGUCGAAGUAUUAGCGUAAGCGGAUAUGGACGAAGCAGAAGUGAGAAUGUCGGCUUGAGUAACGAAAAUAUAGGUGAGAAUCCUAUACCCCGAAAACCCAAGGUUUCCUCCGGAAGGCUCGUCCGCGGAGGGUAAGUCAGGACCUAAGGCGAGGCUGAAAAGCGUAGUCGAUGGACAACUGGUUAAUAUUCCAGUACCAUUUUUUAUUGACAACGAGGGACGGAGAAGGUUAAGCCAGCCGGAUAUUGGUUACCGGUUUAAGCGUUCGAGAUGUUGAGAAGCGGCGAAAACGCUUUGAGUUGAGACGUGAGUACGAGACGCUAAGGCGUCGAAGUGGUGUAUAUCAGACUUCCAAGAAAAGCUUGCACUGUCAUAAAUAAAGAAUGCCUGUACCAUAACCGACACAGGUGGGUAGGUAGAGUAUACUAAGGGGCGCGAGAUAACUCUCUCUAAGGAACUCGGCAAAAUAACUCCGUAACUUCGGGAGAAGGAGUGCCUUAUUUAUAAGGCUGCAAUAACAAGAUCCAAGCAACUGUUUAUCAAAAACACAGGUCUCCGCUAAGUCGUAAGACGAUGUAUGGGGGCUGACGCCUGCCCAGUGCCAGAAGGUUAAAGAAGUUGGUUAGCAUUAGCGAAGCUGAUAACUGAAGCCCUGGUGAACGGCGGCCGUAACUAUAACGGUCCUAAGGUAGCGAAAUUCCUUGUCGGGUAAG
rnacentral:rRNA from 1 species